CCCACCCCUAGAAGCAUGGCAGAUAUAGCUGCUGUGUCUCAUACACAUCAGUAGGUGGCAGAGAGGAGAGAGACUUUGUCUAUGAUUAGGGUUCUGACUUGUGAACAUCUUAAUGAUUCAUAGCCUAACAUU